rnacentral:rRNA from 1 species
UGCGCAUUCGCCUCCUUCUCUGGAGGGGCUGUGUUUAUUAGAUACAAAACCAACCCACUUUUGGUGGAGUCUGGGUGAUUCAUAGUAACCGAACGGAUCGCAGUUGGCUUCGGCCCGCGAUAUAUCUUUCAAGUUUCUGACCUAUCAGCUUUCGACGGUAGGGUAUUGGCCUACCGUGGCAGUGACGGGUAACGGGGAAUUAGGGUUCGAUUCCGGAGAGGGAGCCUGAGAAACGGCUACCACAUCUAAGGAAGGCAGCAGGCGCGCAAAUUACCCAAUGAAAACAGCUUCGAGGUAGUGACGAGAAAUAACAAUACAGGGCAUUUUUUGUUCUGUAAUUGGAAUGAUGGGAAUGUAAAACCCUUUCAGAGUAACAAUUGGAGGGCAAGUCUGGUGCCAGCAGCCGCGGUAAUUCCAGCUCCAAUAGUGUAUAUUAGAGUUGUUGCAGUUAAAAAGCUCGUAGUUGGAUUUCUGUCGUGGUCAUCCGGUUCCGCCCGUAUGGGUGUGCACCUGGUUUGCCCUCGGCUUUCUUCCGUUAGCCUUCCGGCGCUUCAUUGCGUCUGUGUUGGUGUUUCGGAACUUUUACUUUGAGAAAAAUAGAGUGUUUCAAGCAGGCUUGUCGCCCUGAAUACUGCAGCAUGGAAUAAUAAGAUAGGACCUUGGUUCUAUUUUGUUGGUUUCUAGGACUAAGGUAAUGAUUAAUAGGGACAGUUGGGGGCAUUCGUAUUUAACUGUCAGAGGUGAAAUUCUUAGAUUUGUUAAAGACGAACUACUGCGAAAGCAUUUGCCAAGGAUGUUUUCAUUAAUCAAGAACGACAGUAGGGGGGUUUGAAGACGAUUAGAUACCGUCGUAAUCUCUACCAUAAACUAU